CUAAGCUCCGCCCAAGGUACCACAUAAUAUUUUUCUGCACGGUGAACUGAUUGGGCAGUACCAGGAAAUGAGAAUCUGGGCGCGUAGACAUGCGAGGUAAAUAUCGACUAAACUGUACACCGUGACAGUUCACAGCAGUGAUACAGAACAACUUUAUGGCAACUCUAUGGUUGCAUUACUGUAUGCUUCAGUUGUUCAUGGGCUGAAAUUCUCUCCAGGACCAGAUGUGUCAGCCUGGCUUUGUAUCAUGCAGCCAG